CCGCGACCCGUGGCACCCGCUCAGCGACGGCAGUCGGACUCCGGGCACGGGGAGCCUGGCUGCCGCCGUGGAGAUUGCCUCCGGGCGCCAGGCCCUGGUGGCGGGCAAGCCGAACCCCUACAUGUUCGAGUGCAUCACCGAGAACUUCAGCCUGGACCCCGCACGCACGCUCAUGGCCUGAAGACGCUUCCGAGAGGCCAAGGCACUGGGCUGCAGGUGCACCAGGCAGCCUCCAAACGCCGGCUUGGCGCUCUUCUCCAGGUUCUAACCGCAGCCUCAUCUCAGGGCCAAGGGCGGCUCCGCUGUGCAGUAAGUUCGCUCUGCUGACAGGCACCAAGGAGGGGUGCAUUUGAAUAAAAUCCUACAUGAAAGUA
rnacentral:lncRNA from 1 species